rnacentral:lncRNA from 1 species
AAAAUGGCGAUCAAAACCUAACUAAACAAAACAACAAUGCCAUAAAAUCGUAAAAUCAAAAACUAAACCUAAACCUAAACUAUCAUCAAAACCUACACCUAAACCUAAACAAUUCUAAAACGAUUCAUCAAAACCUAAACCUAACAAUUCAAUAAAAGUUCUCUAACCAUUCUAACCUAAAUUAUCCUAACAUAUCAUAAAAUCAACAAAUCAAUAUAAUCGAACCUAUAUAAUCGAAAUUUAACAAAAAAUAACAAACAAUUCGAC